CAACAGUUGUUGCUCCAACAACAGAUGUAAAGAUGAGCAACAAAUGUUAUCCAAUGCUGCUUGACAUUGCUAAUGCAAAAGAGAUGAACAUGUGCAAAUUUAUUGUUGAUGAGCUGCACAAUAAUCUGUCAAAUGGGAAGUAUAGCAGGGGAUGUUUACUGUACUGCAUGCUGCGGUACUUUGAUGCACUCAACACCAAUCACUUGGAGCUUAUGCUUGGAGAUGAACGUUUUGCUAUUAAUGCUUGGUCUAGCUUACAAAUUGAUG